GACUCGGGAGAGAGGAAGGAGCCAGCGCACGGAUGUGGAGUUGAUUUCAUUUGAAGCUGGAAUGCGGCUAGUACUCUUCCUUCCGAAGUGUACAGCGCCAGACACAUUGGGUUCUUUCGGGGUCUUGAAAGAGUUACUUAACCUCUCUCUCAGUUCCAUGAUAAAUAAAGUGGGAUAACAGGUGAAGAAAUUAAGGAACAUAGAGGCUAACUAACUUCCCAUCCAUCAGGAUCUCAAAACUGAGUUUGACCCCAGGGCAGGGGCGUCGUUCCUGAAAAGCAGGUGCUGAAGAAACAUCUGUUGAAUGAAGUGUUUGGUGCAAAAUACCUGGUAUCUGACCAGCCCCACGCAGUCUCUUGUAGGAAUGAGCAGUGUCCAGGAGCCCCACAUGUGGAAGGAGGGGAUAAAAAGUCAUCAUUUUAAUGGACGGGAUCACUGAAACAGCCAUGGUA